rnacentral:tRNA from 1 species
GUUCACGCUCACGUCGGAGGCCGUGGACGGCGGUGCCCCCUGGGUGCUGGAGUGCGAGGCGGGCACGCCGGUGGUUCGGGUCCUCGGCGUGUGCA